AAGUUGGUUCCAGUGCCUUUCUUUUAUUUUAGAAUUCUCGGAAAUUUUGGACGGGUACGAUAAUACAGUUGAGCUUGUUAAUUAACUAGGCGUUUUAUCAUAACUUAUGCGUUGUGCUACUUUUUGACUUUUUCCACUGGAUCAACAAAAUGACAUUACUUCCUUACCGAGACGAAGUGCACGCCAAUGGAAAUCCGCAGAGUUUGUGCUUUAUGGAAAACAUUUUUUCCGGACAGGACAACUUAAUGAACACGUCCGGAUACAUCCUGGUACAUGAUUCUUCUGUUGCAUCAUCUGUGGCACAGCGCUGUUCAAUAGCAACAUUCUAGCGAAUCGUUGGUUCACACACACCGGAAUAAACUGGUGUACAAGCACACAUUGUGGGAGUAAAGAUUUUAUGUACAAGUCAAAUCUAAAAGUACACGUCAGCCUUCAAACGGGUGAUCAACCGUCCAUGCGCAUCGUUCGGAAAAACCUUUUCCUAAAGGGUCAAGCUUGAAAAAGCACACACAUUUAUAUACCGGAUCUACCGUAGAAGUUAAUCUUGUACUUGUACACAUUCGCUUUCAUAUGGAUAAGAUAACGUUAAAGGGCACUGUGUGUGGUAAAGAUUUUGGACUGAAGAAUGCAUUAACAGUUUACACAUGCCGUCGUAUGGGCGAACGAUCACGCAUGUGCACCGUGUGGCACAGAGUUCACUGCACAUGCUUUCUGGAAGAAGCGCGAACGACACAAUAAUAGAGUAGUUAUUUCGGAAAUAUGGAACCGAAGACGUCGCUUCUGAAUAAUUAUAUUGAUGGUAAAAACGAAGAGUAUGUGGACCGCCAAUUUAUUGAAGCAGCGUCAUCCCAUUUUGAAUAGUUCAAAAGUUGACAGUAUCGCUUUGCUCAAUACAGACAGUAACACCAACGACUAUGGGCAUUUCAGUAGUAUCGUCACGGAAAACAUUAGUUAUAUGUGGUAACAGAAACAAUUAUUGUACGCUGACACUGUUCGGUAAUCUACAACUUUAGGACAAUCAACGGCUAUUGAAUGGUUUGAAAGAUCAGGUGCGCCAGAAAGAAUCGAUUCAAGGAACAAUUAUACGUAGAGUUACCAAAAGAACUGAGAGCAAAUUAAGGACAGUCCAGUUAAAUCCAUCCGGAAUUAGAAUCGGAUUUUGUUUUAUGAUUGUGAAAUACAAAAUAAA